GUAGCUACCUUCAAAUAGUGCUGGAUGGAUUUCAGACUGGGCGGACAUUCCGGAAUAUUUGCCAUCUUGACACUUUAGACGGAGGCGCCUAAAUCACUAUUCAAAUAUGUUAUAGAAUAUGAUGUAUACAAACAACUCUGAAUUUACGUGUUAGACAUGAACAUAAUAAUUAUUAAAACAUUAAAAGAAAGAUAAGAAUAUGAAUAGUACUAUGAAUAAUAUGAAUGACGUCAUGAACAAAA